rnacentral:rRNA from 1 species
CCUACGGGAGGCAGCAGUGAGGAAUAUUGGUCAAUGGGCGCGAGUCUGAACCAGCCAAGUAGCGUGAGGGAUGACGGCCCUAUGGAUUGUAAACCUCUUUUAUCGGGGAGUAAAAUACGCCACGCGUGGCUUUUUGCGAGUACCCGAAGAAAAAGCAUCGGCUAACUCCGUGCCAGCAGCCGCGGUAAUACGGAGGGUGCGAGCGUUAUCCGGAUUUAUUGGGUUUAAAGGGUGCGCAGGCGGAAGGUUAAGUCAGUCGUUAAAUUGCGGGGCUCAACCGUUUCAAAGCAGUGGAAACUGGUUGUCUUGAGUGAGUGGGAGGUAUGCGGAAUGCGUGGUGUAGCGGUGAAAUGCUUAGAUAUCACGAAGAACUCCGAUUGCGAAGGCAGCAUACCGGAGCGUAACUGACGCUGAUGCACGAAAGUGUGGGUAUCGAACAGGAUUAGAUACCCCUGUAGUC